UAAAAGGUACUCCGGGGAUAACAGGCUGAUACCGCCCAAGAGUUCAUAUCGACGGCGGUGUUUGGCACCUCGAUGUCGGCUCAUCACAUCCUGGGGCUGAAGUAGGUCCCAAGGGUAUGGCUGUUCGCCAUUUAAAGUGGUACGCGAGCUGGGUUUAGAACGUCGUGAGACAGUUCGGUCCCUAUCUGCCGUGGGCGCUGGAGAAUUGAGGGGGGCUGCUCCUAGUACGAGAGGACCGGAGUGGACGCAUCACUGGUGUUCGGGUUGUCAUGCCAAUGGCACUGCCCGGUAGCUAAAUGCGGAAGAGAUAAGUGCUGAAAGCAUCUAAGCACGAAACUUGCCCCGAGAUGAGUUCUCCCUGAGACUAUAAGUCUCCUGAAGGAACGUUGAAGACGACGACGUUGAUAGGCCGGGUGUGUAAGCGCAGCGAUGCGUUGAGCUAACCGGUACUAAUGAACCGUGAGGCUUAACCUUACAACGCCGAAG
rnacentral:rRNA from 1 species